rnacentral:rRNA from 1 species
UGAGGAAUAUUGGUCAAUGGGCGAGAGCCUGAACCAGCCAAGUAGCGUGCAGGAUGACGGCCCUAUGGGUUGUAAACUGCUUUUAUGUGGGGAUAAAGUGCGUGACGUGUCAUGCAUUGCAGGUACCACAUGAAUAAGGACCGGCUAAUUCCGUGCCAGCAGCCGCGGUAAUACGGAAGGUCCGGGCGUUGUCCGGAUUUAUUGGGUUUAAAGGGAGCGUAGGCUGUCUAUUAAGCGUGUUGUGAAAUUUACCGGCUCAACCGGUGGCUUGCAGCGCGAACUGGUCGACUUGAGUAUGCAGGAAGUAGGCGGAAUUCAUGGUGUAGCGGUGAAAUGCUUAGAUAUCAUGACGAACUCCGAUUGCGCAGGCAGCUUACUGUAGCAUAACUGACGCUGAUGCUCGAAAGUGCGGGUAUCAAACAGG